GGGAUAGUAAAGGAUUCGACAGGCUAUAGGAGAUUAUGAUUGCAUGCUAUGGUAGCGCAUAUAAAAACGCCGAGGUUUUAAUUAACCGCAAACGAAAAUUACGCAUACGCUGCUUAAUUAGAUAAAUAAGCGGCGCCCGUUAUAAAAUGCCUCUCAAGUUUUAUAAACGGGCUCAGUAUUGAGGGUUGAAUUAAAAAUGAAUCCCGGUUUUUAAUUCGAGAUUCAGGGAUUAGUCAGGCAGACCGUUUGUUUGUUGUCGGGAUGUCGGGCGAAAUCUAAACAACAAACUAAGCAUGUAGACGUUGUAAUCGAAUGUAGUUUGGACGCGGGUUCGAUUCCCGCCUAUUCCACCA
rnacentral:tmRNA from 1 species